ACAGCGUCGCAAAGGAAUCUCCUGUUUUAAUUGCAUGCUCUGUCAUUCUGACUGGCAGAACGUCUGAGUCGCUCUGUCCUGUGCUUGUUUGCAGGUGCGACUGGAAGUGAAGGUCAUCCAGCUUCCCCUGCGAGUUCCAGGAGUGAAACUCCGGCAGACCACACGGGUCCGGAAAGACGAAAGUUUACACCUAGAGGAGGGUAUUACGCCUGGUGGUCAUCCCGUGUCCCAAGGAAACCCACGA